GGGGUAGAUUUACCUGGGCUGGUGUAGACUCACCUGGGCUGGGGUGGACUCACCUGGGCUGGGUUGGACUUAACAAGUAUCUAGGUGUGUGUGUACCCACUGUAGUCUUCAAAGCCCUUGUGGCUCACGGCUGGUGCGGCUCUGCAGGAUCUGCAGUGAGGAAGAGGAGGUGUCGAGGAGAUCUGGAUCCUGGUUUUUCAGGGGGCAGCCUAAGCAGGUGUUCCCGCCCCCUCUGUCUGUCUCACCACCAACAGACUCCAGUGCCCCGCCCACACAAUCAACUGCCCCACCCAGAGACAAUAGAGCCCCACCCACAAAUGUGGUGGCUCCGCCUCCAGACUCC
rnacentral:lncRNA from 1 species